rnacentral:rRNA from 1 species
UACGUAGGGUGCGAGCGUUAAUCGGAAUUACUGGGCGUAAGGCGUGCGCAGGCGGUUUUGUAAGACAGGUGUGAAAUCCCCGGGCUUAACCUGGGAACUGCGCUUGUGACUGCAAGACUCGAGUACGGCAGAGGGGGGUAGAAUUCCACGUGUAGCAGUGAAAUGCGUAGAGAUGUGGAGGAAUACCGAUGGCGAAGGCAGCCCCCUGGGUCGAUACUGACGCUCAUGCACGAAAGCGUGGGGAGCAAACAGG